rnacentral:rRNA from 1 species
AUUGAACGCUGGCGGCAGGCCUAACACAUGCAAGUCGAGCGGAGCGGCGGACGGGUGAGUAAUGCCUAGGAAUCGGCCUGGUAGUGGGGGGUAACGUCCGGAAACGGGCGCUAAUACCGCCUACUCUCAGAUGAGCCUAGUUCGGAUUAGCUAGUUGGUGGGGUAAAGGCUUACCAAGGCGACGAUCCGUAACUGGUCUGAGAGGGUGAACAAUCACACUGGAACUGAGACACGGUCCAGACUCCUACGGGAGGCAGCAGUGGGGAAUAUUGGACAAUGGGCGAAAGCCUGAUCCAGCCAUGCCGCGUGUGUGAAGAAGGUCUUCGGAUUGUAAAGCACUUUAAGUUGGGAGGCGUUACCAACAGAAUAAGCACCGGCUAACUCCGUGCCAGCAGCCGCGGUAAUUC